UACGUAGGGCGCAAGCGUUGUCCGGAAUUAUUGGGCGUAAAGAGCUCGUAGGCGGUUUGUCGCGUCUGCCGUGAAAGUCCGGGGCUCAACUCCGGAUCUGCGGUGGGUACGGGCAGACUAGAGUGUGGUAGGGGAGACUGGAAUUCCUGGUGUAGCGGUGAAAUGCGCAGAUAUCAGGAGGAACACCGAUGGCGAAGGCAGGUCUCUGGGCCACUACUGACGCUGAGAAGCGAAAGCGUGGGGAGCGAACAGG
rnacentral:rRNA from 1 species